GUGAAUGAAAACGGAAGGAAACUUACCAGGCUGCACAGAAUCCCACAGAACAUCCACCAAAUCUGCUCAAACUUCACAAGGAUGCAGAUGCGGAGGCUGUGGAGUUGAUGUCUGUCCGGGGAUAGCCGUUUCUAAUCGCCGGAAAACACAAGACUGCAGAUAAUAAUGCAUCAACGCUCGAAUCAGGAUUCAAUCUGGAUUAUCUUCAGUGUGAUGACAUGGUCUAAUGGCUAUUUUCUUGCACCUGCGGGUAGAAGCCCAGCAUACUUGAUAUCGUAGGAAAGAUGAGAGGGAGGACCUUCAACUCUUGAGUCCUGCUGAGUAGGUUAUCAUUACCAGUCAACUUCUCUGACUUUGUGUCUGUGUGUGACCGAGGUUACAUAUGUUAAAGGUAGUUUGGGGCUGUAAACAUCCCCGACUGGAAGCUGUCCUUCUGCAGAGCUUUCAGUCCGAUGUUUGCCGCUGCCGGCCGCCUCCAGCUGCACAGAACAGGAAGAGCCGCUUCAUUUCAUUUUAUGGGAAGGUUGUUUAACUAAUAGUAUUAGCAAGUUUGGUUUUUUUGUGGCCUACAUCCGGAAUAUCCAGACUCAGUCCAUGUAAACAUCCUACACUCAGCUGUAAUCGCUUGCGGCAGAGGCUGAGGGAAGGUUGUUUACUUGGACUGGCUGGAAGUGACACGAAGCGAGCUGACUAGAGGGCGUCCGCGCCAAGGUCACGCAUCACGGUUUUGACAGACUAAGUCGAUUAACAAAAAGUAAUGUUUUGAUAUGUCAUUAAAGUAAAAGGACAAAUCAUUUGUAAGCCACAACCUCUCAAAAUGUCUAUUUGUGCAAUUUUGUUCAUUUUAUACAACUGCGUCUUGAAAUAUUUAGCCUUUUCUGAUGUUAAUCCAAGCUAUUUGUGCUUUAGUUUGACAUUUCAAAUGUAUGUGUAACUGUGAAUUGUAUUGAAAACAAUCCUUAGCUUCAGCUCUGUAAAAAAGAUAAUGAACAUUUAUGUAAGAAUAGACUAUAUUAUGUUGUACUUUUUCUCCCCAUCAUGCAAAACAGAACGUUAUCUAACCCCUGUAAGAUUGUAAGAAUGUGUGUGUUUUGAAAAAGUGUUUACGCUGACAUUAAAGCGACUCCAGCAAACGUAAAGAUGUAA